AAUGAACGUUGGCGGCAUGGAUUAGGCAUGCAAGUCGAGCGAGAAGAGUUUUGAAGCUUGCUUUAGAACUCGGACAGCGGCGAAAGGGAGAGUAACGCGUAGUUAUGUGCCCUAGGGUCCGGAAUAGCCACGGGAAACUGUGGGUAAUGCCGGAAAAUAUCCCCGGAUCAAAGGUGUGUUUCCGCCCUAGGAGCAGACUGCGUCCAACUAGCUAGUUGGUGGGGUAAUGGCCUACCAAGGCAAUGAUGGGUAGCGGGUGUGAGAGCAGGACCCGUCUCACUGGGACUGAGACACUGCCCAGACACCUACGGGUGGCUGCAGUCGAGAAUCUUCGGCAAUGGGCGAAAGCCUGACCGAGCGAUGCCGCGUGCGGGAUGAAGGCCCUCGGGUUGUAAACCGCUGUCGUAGGGGAGGAAGGUUCCGUGAAGAGCGGAAUUUGACCUAUCCUAGGAGGAAGUACGGGCUAAGUUCGUGCCAGCCGCCGCCGUAACAC
rnacentral:rRNA from 1 species